rnacentral:rRNA from 1 species
GACGAACGCUGGCGGCGUGCUUAACACAUGCAAGUCGAACGGAAAGGCCCUGCUUUUGUGGGGUGCUCGAGUGGCGAACGGGUGAGUAACACGUGAGUAACCUGCCCUUGACUUUGGGAUAACUUCAGGAAACUGGGGCUAAUACCGGAUAGGAGCUCCUGCUGCAUGGUGGGGGUUGGAAAGUUUCGGCGGUUGGGGAUGGACUCGCGGCUUAUCAGCUUGUUGGUGGGGUAGUGGCUUACCAAGGCUUUGACGGGUAGCCGGCCUGAGAGGGUGACCGGCCCCAUUGGGACUGAGGUACGGCCCAGACUCCUACGGGGGGCAGCAGUGGGGAAUAUUGCACAAUGGGCGGAAGCCUGAUGCGGCAACGCCGCGUGCGGGAUGACGGCCUUCGGGUUGUAAACCGCUUUCGCCUGUGACGAAGCGUGAGUGACGGUAAUGGGUAAAGAAGCACCGGCUAACUACGUG